rnacentral:rRNA from 1 species
UACGUAGGUGACAAGCGUUGUCCGGAUUUACUGGGCGUAAAGAGCGCGCAGGCGGUCGAUCAAGUCGAGUGUGAAAGCCCCCGGCUCAACUGGGGAGGGUCAUUCGAUACUGAUCGACUCGAAGGCAGGAGAGAGUAGUGGAAUUCCCGGUGUAGUGGUGAAAUGCGUAGAUAUCGGGAGGAACACCAGUGGCGAAGGCGACUACCUGGCCUGUUCUUGACGCUGAGGCGCGAAAGCUAGGGGAGCAAACGGG